UUCGUACUAAAUCCACUUCAGUAGAUUUUCAAUGUGUAUAAAUAUUAUUGUGGGCAAAGUGUAUAUCAGAUUCAGUUACACGACUGCACAGCAUACGCUAAGAUGUCUCGUUUAUUGAAUAUUUCGCUGGUUGCUAUUUUGUGUGCAGUGAUAAUAACUGUCAACGCAGAUGGUAAAUGGGUACGCGAACCAAGAUGCACAUUCAAAGCAGAGAUAAAAGAUAUGAACCCAACGAUACGUGAUUUUUUCAAACCCAAAAAGGCUAGGAUCCUCAAGAUUUACUUUUUAUUUAAAUUUGUUAUUCCUGACAAUGCGCAAACGGUAGUGGUGGCCAAGCUGGAGAUAGAUGGUGUUUUGCAAAUAGCCAUAAUCAGAACAUUGAGAGGUAUUGAUGGCAAAUUGAGAAUUACCAGUUUGGAACUUUUCCCUUAUCACCCAGAGCCAUGUCCUUAGAAAAAUUGAUUUGUCCAAAUAUAAUUCAUAAUUUUGCAUUGAUCGAAUAUAAUUUGUUCAAAACAAUCAAAACAAUUUGUUUCAAUGUGUCGAAGAAAAAAAAAAUU